CCGCUGAAAUCUCCGUAGACGGUAAGUGGACCUGUCAUGACGCAAGACACUUUAUUGCAAAUGGGAAAUAAUAUAUUUCUACAUCGUAUUGGAAAUGUUUCGAAAUAAUGAUUUAAAACAAAUAUGGUCUCUAUCACUGUGUGUGACUGACAGGGACAGCAGGAGAACCCUUCUAAACACACCGCAGCUAGUGUACUUACUCUUUAGCACUGCCAGCGGUGUGAUGUCACUCUGUUCAUACGAUGUGAUGAUGUCAUUAGAGAGGUGCAGCCUACUUAUGGCAGGGUUUGCAAGCAUUGGCAAACUGAGAAAGAG